GUUAUUCCCAUUAUAUUGAAAUCCUCUAUUCUGACUGGUGCUCGAAAGUCACUUAUUUAUAUUUCUUAAACUUCUAGUAUUUUGUUUCUUCCUAUACUACAUCUUAAUUUUCCUGGCUCUCACCACUGUCUAGUCCUUAAGUGAUUGAACAAAUCACAAACUGUACUAAUUACUGUUCUGGCAGUUAAUCCCAGCCAUAAGAAUAAAGAGGUCAUUGAUGGUAUCCUGGCUGACCACUGCAACUUUUUUGCACCUCUUCAAGUGCUCCAGUUGACUUGUCGAACACAGCCAUGAAUUUGAAUCCUGUCAACUGACCACCCAAUGAAGACCCAGAAUAUGGCUACCCUAUCCACUGGAGAACUGCUGACCACCUCUAACCAGUACCAGCUACUCAUGGAGGUCCAGGAUUGCUGCUCGUUUUUUCGAGCAGGAAUCUUCAGAUUCUUCAUCCUCUUCAAGCGAGGAAGAAGACCUGACACCUAGGAGCUCGCUAACCAAGUCCAAGACCUCCACAGCACCAGAAUCAAGUGAAGGCCAGACCACCACUCAGCCAGCCAACAUUGCCUCUCCUGUCCCAUGCCAGAUAGCCAGUACACCUAACACUGUACCUGCCUUUGUCCAGGCUGCCAAUCCCACUGCUCCUGCCACACCAGUGUCCACCCCUAAGAUGCCACCAGCCAUUGUCAUCAAGGGUAUAUCUAGUGCCAUCCACGAGAUCACCAAGGAACUGUGCCGUCUGUUCCCAAUGACUGUUUUUACCCACCUAUGAUGCCUGCCAAGAGGGGGUGUUGUUCUUAAGUGUUUGAAGCUGCAAGGAUAUGCCACCAUCCUCUAGCCAUGGCCUGCCUCAGCCCUUGACAGUGCUAAGCUUUCGAUCCACGUCACCAGAGACCACCUACCUGGAAAAGACCUUGUGAUUUGCAGUGUGCCUUUUGACAUCACCCUAGAUGAAGUUAAGGAAGAACUUGCUGCCCAGGAGAUUACCCUGAUCAGGAUCGAAUGCAUCAAGUCUUCCCAUACCAGACUCCCCACACUGCUGGUUAAAUUCACAAUGACAGACAUGAAGGCCGAGGAAACCAUCACGUUAGGAGUUACACUCUUCUUCAACUGCCACCAAAUUGAAGUAGCCAAGGACCGUGGACUAAGGUUAAUCCACUGCUUCAAGUGCCAAUGCUUUGGGUACACUAUGACUGCCUGUACAGCAGUCAUUUGGUGUGUCCAGUGUGGAGGCCCUCACCUGGUAGCAGCCUGCACAAGCCAGUGUGACCAGACAAGGUGUGUGAACUGUAAUGGUCUGCAUGCCACAUCAUACUGUGGAUGCCCACAAUUCAAGCCUGUAACUACAUCACAACAACUUACAACAGUUGCUGCUCCAAUGACCAGUAUCCCCAAGAAGACCCUACACUUCAGCGAGCCACUUGUCACCAAGCACAGGCCAAAGAGCUGAAGACUGACUCUGAAGCCAUACAACAGCCACAAGCCAAGUCACUGCCUACAAAUCUAGUGGAGUCACCUGUGGAUAUGGAUGACCUGCUUCCCAUGAUCACCAGCAUCAUAGCAGAUGUCAUCUUUGAACUAUGUGGUAACUCCCUCGAAGGAGAUGCUGUAGUAUUGAAGGUGUGCAAUGCUGCUGCUUAUUACUUCCAGACAGAGCAACUCGGCAACCCAAUAACCCUUGGUUGCAUCCUGGAAAGACACUGGGUAGCCUGUCAGGAUGAAGAAGGAUUUUUCAUGCAAAGAUAUGAAAAUGAUAUGCAUGGCUGUCCCUCAUUUCCAUCUGGUAGACUAGGGGGAAGGCAGAUAAUCAUUAGAACCCACUACCAACUCUUGGACUACACUCUUAUUUGAUCGAAUAGUGAUUUUGACCAUCACCCUCAUAGGACACACAUGACCCAAAAGAACAGAAUAUGUUUUAUUGUGGCAACAGACCAUGUACCAUGGUGUGAACUAAAUUAAGAAGGAAAACUAAUCACCAUACCGGACAGCCCAAGUCUUUAUAAGAAAGGAAGUGUCACAGGAUAACAUCAACUGGUCUUUACGAUAGAGUAUAAGAGGCAUCUAAGUCAAUUGAAGAUCAAGAUUCAAUGGGAUUCUAGUUCCUGAUUAUGACACAUAUUUUGAACAACUAACAAAUCAUGUUGAAGUACUGCAAGUCCAGUCUUGAAUUUUUAUUUUUCUAAAUCCUUGCGGACCGUCGAGCCGAUGGCAAAUCUUGC